UUGAUUCUUGUUUAUUCAUUUGAAUAUCGUAGAACUUUGAAAGCGUUGUACUCUUUCAUUAUCAAUUUAUUGUGUUGCAUAGAAAGGGAGAACCCUUGUUAUUGAUUAACGCAUUGUUCAACUAAUUCAAAGUUCCCCGAACUUUGGUGUCAUUCUAUCAAAAUAGAUAGUCUAUUAUUCUGAUACUUAUACAUUCAUUGUAUA
rnacentral:lncRNA from 1 species